rnacentral:rRNA from 1 species
UACGGAGGGUGCAAGCGUUAAUCGGAAUUACUGGGCGUAAAGCGUGCGUAGGUGGUUCGUUAAGUCCGUUGUGAAAGCCCCGAGCUCAACUUGGGAAUUGCAGUGGAUACUGGCGAGCUGGAGUGCGGUAGAGGAAGGUGGAAUUCCCGGUGUAGCGGUGAAAUGCGUAGAGAUCGGGAGGAACACCUGUGGCGAAGGCGGCCGACUGGGCCGACCCUGACGCUGAGGCGCGAAGGCGUGGGGAGCGAACGGGG